CCUUCUCCCCCUCUCCUCUCUGUUUGUCCUGGUGGCCGCCCCUCCUGGUCAUUGUGCUAACUAAAAUCACAGCCCUAUUCAUAGGGAUGGCUUGUACAGACUAACUGGAGCCACUGCCCUGCCUAGGAAGGGGGCUUCUUGCUUCUGCGUUUGACUCCUUUGUUCAAACCCGGGCUCGGUGUGGGGGGGCGCUGUCCAGAAAUGCAAGACCUGAAGUGGCCAAC